CUACAUGCUCUUCCUACAACAUGAAUUUGACAUUCCUUCCAUUGAGUGGUUGGUUCUAUAAUGUACAUCACUUUGAGCCUGGAAGAAUAGAGACUGUGUAAGUUCAAGUGAAGAUAUAUGAGUUUGGAAGUUAGAUCAUAAAAGAUGCUGUAGUUCCUUCUUGAUUCUCUUUCGAUGCUUCCUCUUGGAACUUAGCUACUCUGUUGCAAAGGAGUCAAAACUAGCCCACAUGGAGAGGUCACUUGUGGGUUUUCCAGCCAAUAGUCCAGUGGAGCAGCUCCUAGUCAACAACCAGCAUCAACUGCCAAAUAUGAAUCUUUUGUUAUCAGCAGGCUCUGCAAAGAUUAUGAAUCCUGUCUCCUGCUGAAUGUCCAUCCCAUUAGAAACUCUGUUUCACUGUGCUUUUAUCUGCUUUAGACUCUUCCAGAUCUCUACAGUUGGGUUGAAAAUAGUAAUAGACAAAAGCCCUGGGAAGGAUUCACCCCUCAGCUCAACAGAGCAGAGAAAAAAUAGGGAGAGGAGGAUUUUCUUGUGCCAGAGUCACCAUUUCCAUGGCUCAGUAGGUUCUCAUUUGUCAUCAGCCUAUCAGUCCAUAUGCCCUGGCGUGGAGGACCCUCUGUUCCUAGGACCUGUUUCACGGAUGUAUGACCAGUGCAGGCACUUGGAGUUUAAUGCUCUGCAGUGGCCAGUGAAAUUCUUCAUGCUUUAGUCUUAGUGUUUGUGCUCUGGGGGUGAAGUCUGAUGGGACAAUGAAGUCAGAGCCAGGGCCUUGGAACCUUGGUUCAGGGAAAGUCUUGCCAUCUGCCGUGCCUGUACCUCCCCAGGACAGAUGCUCAGGCACCUGCUCUCCUGCUCUUCCCAGCAGCUGCC